rnacentral:lncRNA from 1 species
GCAACAGUCCACAUUUGAAUUAAUCUUAGAGAGAGAUGACUUUACAGGCUGCGCAACACCUAAUGGGUUGGCCCAAAAGUUCGUCAGAUUUUUCCAUAAGCUCUUAUCGGAAAAUCCAAAUGAACUUUCUGGCCAACCCAAUACUACUAAAGGUACAAAUGUAAGCGACAACCACCAAGUCAACCCUCCAAGGACAGAUAUUCACUGUGGCAGGCACCGCUGUUCCUGUUCCCCCAGGAGGAGAGGACUAACAUGCCUACAUCCUUCCUCUGAAACUCUCUCCCUGUCAUUCAUUUGGCCACGCCAAAUGAUGAGAUUGGAAAAGACUGUCUACAGACCAUCAUGGAAGGAAGACCAUCUGCAUGGAAAGAAUUCGUUUCCUUCCUAUUAUUUGUGCAAACUGAAAUAGGUCAAAACACAUUUCAUCUCCGUUUUUUUUUUUUUGCUCUCUCCAUUUCAUCAUCUUACAAGUACUCUUCAAUUCCCUCCACCUGUCUCACUUGCCAAAGUCUUCAUUCAAGUUCUUCCUCAAUAAAAAUAUUUAAUGGUCUUCUCUUGCCUAAGUUUCCCAAAUGAACAAAGCCAAGGGAAAGGUCUUCUGGGGAUAAAAUAUUUUAAAUGUUUUUAAGUGAAAUAUGAAAAAGACCAAUGGUCUAUAUAUCAAACUUAACAUGAAUCUCAUAUGGCAUGAAAAUAAGUCAUUUUUCUUCUAUAAGUCACUAGAUCUGACAUCUAAGUUGAUUACUUACAAUUUUAUCCACUGAUUAAUCCAUUUAUUUGUUCAACACAAAUUUAUUGAGUACCUUCUAUAAGGCAGGCAUUGUUCCAGGCCAGUAACAUGCCUCGAGUGAACCAAAACAGACAAAAAUGUCUGCUCCUGGAGAGAAGACAUUCUAUUGCGGGGAGUCAGAUAAACAAACAAGUAAAAUACUGUCUGUUAUUCAGAAUUUUAAUUUCAGAAGAAUAAUGUUAAGAUUGAGAGGAAACUGUCAGGGGUAAUUGUUCUGCCAAAGCUGUACUGAUUCAUGUUGCAAACUUUCAUGGAUGUGGUAAUUAUCCUUAAUUGCUAAUUUAUAGGGCAUAAAAAGCAAUUCAUAUGGUAACUGCUUUAUCCAAUUAUAUUAAUAAAAUGACAUAUUCUAGAGAAACGAUCUGAUCUUAGCCCUACCUGAUACACCAGGAGGUUUGUGAAAACAGCUGUCACAACGAGUCAGUUUGAUUGAGGUCAUGAAUUAGGACAGUUCUCAGCUCUGCCAAUAAAGGUUACAGGGAAACGUGGUGUGAUUCAGAGGACCUGGCUUCAGGGCACCAGUCCGAGGCUGACAAAGACUGAAACAAGACAGCUGAGAAGGAAAACGGGGACUCAAACUGAUCAAACCCACUAAGAGUUUACUAGGAGAGUUACCUAACAGUGACAUACUUUAUAGGCCGCAACUGAAGUACUGCUCAGCAACAGCAACCCCACCUUAAAUCAUCACUAGAUACUGACAAAUGACUUGGUUUAACACUUAAACUCCCAGACCACAAACACCAGAAGACAGAAAAUCUCUAAUGCAAACACCUAGCCACACUACACUUAGGGCAAAAAAAGUGAUGGUACAGAAAACCACACGAUGUUCUUAGCUGCUCAGGAAUGUCCAACUCUUUGCGACCCCAUGGACGCACUCUCCACGGGGCUUCUCCAGGCAAGAAUUCUGGAGUGGGUUGCCAUGCCCUCUUUCAGGGGAUAUGCCCAACCCAGGGAUCGAACCCAGGUCUCCUGCACUGCAAGCAGAUUCUUU